AGAGAGAGAGCUGGGUAUACAAGUCUGGAGAUGCCCUCUGCUUUGGUCAACAAGACUCGACCGUAUAUUGAUAUGUCUCUUUGAAGCCACAUGUUCAGAAUUUGUUGAGUUUUCUUCAGCUUAGGUUUAAAGUUUUGUUGUUGCCUUUCCUCAAAGUCUGUACAUAUGUGAACACCAAGGUAUUUAACAUUAUUUUUCACAGAUAUAUUACAGAUUGACUGGUCUACAGUUUUAUAUAAACAUAAUAUUUCACAUUUAGUUGUAUUUAAAGUUAAACCAUAAAAGUAAUAAAAUACUCGCGACAGAAAUAACGGAAGAGCAUACAAAAGCGUCUGCGCAUGCGUAGUCGCCCCCCGUGCGGCUACAGUCUAGCAGUCUAGGGGCGUUCCAAACAAACUACGCUACAAGUUAUUCUUCUCUCAUGCGCGUGCACUAUGAGCCUAAAAGCAACAUAGGAUGCAAUCGAACACAUCUACGUUCAUUACCUUGAUUGGAUUAUAUGAGAUAUUUGCCGAGGAAGGAAGCUAAGGGCAUUUGUGUUCAAUUGCACCAGGCUAAAGCUAAAGAUAAGAUGGCUGGCCAAGACAUGGACGCUCAGUGGGAAGAAUACAAGGCGAAGUUCGAUAAAGUUUACGAACCGGAGGAGGACAAGAUGCGCAGAGAUCUAUGGGAGAAGACACUGCAGAAGAUCGAGACCCACAACAAGGAGGCAGAUGAGGGCAAGCAUACCUGGUGGAUGGGGUCAACCAGUUCACUGACAAGAGGCCAGAAGAAGUGUGUUGUGGGGGACUUCGUCCGUGUCAUCCUCCAAACCAAGGAGAGGACGGUGGUCAUUGAACUGAGAGGAACAGCCGCAAGGUCCCAGCUGUGAAUGAACAAUUGAGAAAUUUAACCACCGUACAUGUAUUCCACUGACUGCAAGAGCUCUGUUACUCAAAACGAUGCCAAAAACAUUCACACAAA
rnacentral:lncRNA from 1 species